rnacentral:lncRNA from 1 species
AAACUUUUAGUUACGUAAUUUACCAUAUUAAAUGGAAUGGUGUAAAUAAAGUAUAUUAUUACACUUAACCUUGACCAAGAAUAUCGUAGGAUUGCAUAAAAGUUACCGAAAUCAAUAGUAAAUGGUCAUGGUUUCAUGGCUAGCAUACUGUAUCCGGCGAAACUAAUCGAAGAAAGCAGGUAAGACUUUUGAAUAUAAUGAAUACAUUCAUUUAUUUAAACUUGUUCACACUAGUUAGACUAAAACAUACUUUCAAACAGUUUUAUUAUUUCUAGUAUUACAGAAUAGAGUAGAGGCGAGUGAGGUUCUUUUUAAAAUUAAACGCGCUUGAAUUUUCUUCUCCUUUUGUAUCCUAUCAUUAUCAUUAGCUUAUAUCUUUAUGAUAGAACAUAGGAAAAUUCAUAAUAGAAAACAAGCUGAAAAUGUUGAACCCCAGACUUUAGUUUGGCUAUAUAAUUAAGGCUCAAUAACAGUUAUUGAGCCUUAAUUAUGUAGCCAAACUAAAGUCUGGGGUUACAACUCGCAUGAUACGUAGAAUUAUAAUACCUCAGUAUGUUUUUUCUAUAUAAAAAUAAUGAAAUAGUUGUGCUAUUUCAUUCCACAGACUAUUUGCCAGUCAAUAGUUUCAAAGACUUUUACCCGGUUAAUAGUUAACUUUCAUAAUCAUAUUUCCCGUACUUUUUUAUACUUAUUUUUCAUUGGACAAUAAUGAGGUCAUUAACUAAUCUGUUUGGUUUUGUGUGCUUUGCAAUGUCAAAGUCUGAUAUCGUAAACGGUAAAAUCUAUUUGUGUUUGUCUUAAUUUCAAAUUGAUAUACUGUAUCACUUUUAAAUAUAUGUACCAGAGGCCAUUAAAAAAAGAAAUCUUUGCAGCACAUUUUUAAAAGAUUUAAAACAUAGUAAAUGUAUAAUAUGGGUUUAUCGACGUCUUCAUAAACUGUGAUUGAUUUGGUGUACCAUGUGUACAGCACUUAAGCUAGUCUAGUAGAAAUAAUCAUGUGCACAGGAAUUUUUAAACAAGACAUUAGUAUUCCUACAUGUCCUAGUCUUGAUUACAGUACAUGAAAUAUUUACAAAUUCAACACGUACUAUAAAAAUAACAAACUUAGAGUUCAUAUAGUGCAUAUUUAUGAGAAUUUUUUCUUUUCUUUCAGAUAAUGUAUGAAGACUUUUUAGAAAUUUGGUUGGAUUAGUAUAAUAAAACACUUAAUGACUGGUUAUGAGGGUAAUAGCAAGUUUGUUGUCCCUUUGAUACAAACUAUUGCCUUCGGCUUCGCCUCGAGCAAUAGUUGGUAUCUCAGGGACAACAUACUUGUUGUUACCCUCAUAACCAGUCAAUAGGUGUAUAGUGUUUAAAAAAAUCCUACUAAUGCCCAACUAUUACAGUGUCUUAACUUUACGCUUUCAACUAUGACGUCACACAAUGUAUUGCCUAAUAUUUUCAGUGAUACAGCCAGUAUGUUGAUACCCGAAAAUAUUAGGCAGUAAGAUCAAAGGAAAAAUAUACGAAUUACCGAUAAAUGUACUUAUCUACUUCCUUUACAACUAUCACAGAACUAAUCAUUAACUUUCGUAGUAAAGCGUGUGGUGAAAUUUACUAUUUUUGGGCAAGUUACAUGUAGUUACACUUUUAACUGAAAAUUGUACGUGCCCCCGCCAGGAAUUGCUAAAUUAGUGCAUUUUACUUAUUUUAAGUUUUGAAGCCAAAAAAAAGGUCCAAAAAUAUUUUCGCCUCUUUCCGCUCGGUCAGAGAUUUUACUAAACACCCCUUUGGAAAAUCCUGGGUCCGCCCUUGUCUCACUCCAACAUAUCUGUACUCAAAUGAAAACAAACCGUUAUUUGUAUGCAGAUCAAAUGUAGGCAUUCAAGGAAUAAACCUGGUUAGUCUUAAAAUAUGCAUUUCAUACAAUAAAUAUUCGGCAGCAGUACUUAUGUGCUAAAUGCUAUUUUCAAGAUGUAUCAUUUCGCCAAACAUUAUUUUUCAAAGGUAUCAUUUGUGCCAAAUUACUUGUCAAUAAUGACUUUCAACCGAAAUUUUGCUUAAAUAAGUAUCCUUAAUACAUUAUUGUAGUAAAUGAAAAAGAUAAUUCAUGGAAUAAAUAUCCGUAAUAAAUUGUGGUAAAUGAAAAAACUAACUCAUGGAAUAAAUGGAACAUUUUGAAAUCAUAGAUGUUCGAUACUUUAACACGUUAAGACCUAUAUGACCAUCUGGCAUUUAAGGUCAUCUUUGUGAAAUUGAAUUGGAACCUUAGGUUUUUUUUUAUUGGUACAUGUAUAUCAACAGAAUUUUUAUAAACGUUAGUUAUAAAAUUUGACAGUACAAUGUAGUACCGAAGCACUGCCUACUAAGGUGAUGAUAGAUAAUUCCUAAAGUACUAACAGACCAUCACCAAUGGCAUCGGUCCGGUGCAAGUAAAUGAAAAUAGCACUAUUCAGAAUUUGUAUUUAUAUUGUAUGAAACUGUUUUCAGGUACCGAUAUUAGAUCUUUCACGGUCCAAUGGCUAUGUUUGACUGCCGUCCCUUAUUCUUUCACGAUCUUUUUACUCAAUAUACCGAAUGAUUUACAUUCACUCUUCUCAAUUAGGGAACAUCAAAUCCUACAUCUUCAAUGGAUGAGAGUACUUUGCUAUAUUCUUACCGUGGAACACUACUUGUUUAAAAGCAAAUCAAGAUUUCAGCUUUCUAAGAAGACCGACGGAAAACAAAACAACAGUAAAAACUGUACAAAACACAGAAAACGAAAUUAAGCAACACGAAUCAAAUAAAAAAUAGAGUGAUUUCGGUUGAAAAAACGAAGACAUUAAAAUAAAUGUAUCAACUAAAAACAAAUUAAGAAAUAGAAAUACGAGCCCUUUUAUAGGAAACCCUUUUAAUGUACGGUUGGUACACUGAAAUGCAGAGUUCAGACCCUAUAGAUUUAAAUGGUAUAUUUUGUCAUAGUUUAAGUAUUUAUUUUUUCGUGCAACGUUCAUGACAGAAAUUAUUUCACGUUCAACUUGAAAUUAUGUCUAUUUCACGUUUUUCCGUGCAAGCACCCCCCUUUACCACCCUCAUUGAAUAAUGUAAGCAUGAAUCAAACCUAAUUGUGGUAUCAGUGAGUUCCAGUUACGAGUACGCUCGACAGAUGCAAUAGAUAUUAAUAUCAAGCAGUAAAUUAUUCUGAUUUUGAUACAGUAAGUAAAUGUAACUAAGUGAGUUAGUAAGUGAGUAACGGAGGGAGUAAGCUGUUUUUCCCCUGUGAAAUCAAGUACACAAUAAUUGAUUGUUUCAACGACUAGCACUAAAAGGGAAAUAACACUUUAUAAAUGUUACAUUGUAGACUUCCGAAGAGUUUUUCUGGCUUUCAAUCAUUAGGUUAAUACUUUGCAUCUCCACAGAAAUAUAUAUCCGCAGGAAAUCUAAACCGGAUUGUUAUAAGUUCUUGAAAUUAAAACAAAUAAAAACACUAAAAUCUUGGGAAAAAUUUGACGGUUCCGAAGUGUAGACUCUAAGUACUGCCUUUUUUAUCAUCUUAACUGCGUGUUAUAAUGCUUUUUUAUUUGUCUUUGUAACAUAUUAACCUUAACUGUUUAGUCCAAUUUUUCUCAAUAAUUAUCCUUUUGGCGUUGCUGGUUACUUAUGUAUCCCACCAAUGUGUUGUUGUGCUGUGGUCAUUUCUUGUUUUUUGUCUUUCAUUUUUACGUCAUCGGACUUUCCCCUCAUUUGUUACUCAUUUGGUUCAGAGUCAAUGAAGCAUAUUGAAUAACCUUGCUCUAGAACAUAUAUCUACUCCAAAUAAAAAUGAUGUAAUUUGCCUUUUAAGAAAAAAGAAAAAAAUCCAGAGGGUUAAUUUGAUACAUAGUUGAUAGUAUAUUUGUCGUAAUUAGUAUGUUAUUUGCCUAUUUCGGAUUAAAAAAAAACGUAACUGAUUAAAUCACAAAAGUUAUAAAAAAUCUGUAAAAAUUUAAAACAUAUAAAAAGAAGAAAAAGAAGCAAAAUUGGGGAAAUUUUCAAAUUGCUGGGUUGCAAUAUUUGUGACAAAUCAAUGUAAAAUGUUUACAAUAUAAUUGAAAACUGUAGGACGAGUUGAUAACGAAAAAAAAACCGGACCGGGUGUUGUAAUGUUUGCUGUAAUAUAAGUUCACAAGUCCGAUGUAUAAGUUUAGAACGCGUACGGACCCGACCGGAAUCCUUUAUAAUUACAGUGUACACACCUAUGAUGUAAACCAAUAAUAAACGAGAUUACAGCUACAAAACUAUAUGACAAUCAUUUUAAUGAAAAGCUGGAUAUAUAUGAGGAGUUUAUUCAAAAUUGGUUAGAUUAAUUAAAAAAGGAGUCAGAAGAGUGGGCAAAUUAAGAGAAUUCUUUAUUGGUGCAUGCCAUUUUACAUGAUGAAAAAAGCUGCUAAUGAUUUUGGAUAUUUAACCACGUGCACACAAGAAAUAUAAUUUAAAAUACGAUAAAUGCUAAAUUAUAAUAUUCAAUCAAUUUUAGGGACACGUUAAUUGAUUAACAUUUUUUUUUUAAAUAGUUGCAAAAACUUAUUGGGCGAAAGUUCAUCUAAAUUUGUGUAUUUCUUUUAUCAGUUAUCUCACAUGUCUCCUGUUACUAAUAGGACAUAUAAGAUAUACAAGAAACAAUGCAUUGUAUCUGUUGUAGGAACAGCCUGUUAACCGUAUCAAUCUCUGUAGAUUCUUCAUAAAUUUUGACUGUUUUAUUUUAGAGACUUUAUUGUGUUGGGAAAAGUCAAGUCCAUAACAUAAUAAUGAUGAUAACAGUUCGAUUCCUCGUGCAUAUGACACCCAUGUUCAUUGCCCUACAGCUAGGGAAAAGUUAUCAACGUAAGUUUUAGAUUCUUAUGGUUUUAUAAGUUAAACAUCGAGUCUAGAUAAUUAAAGCAUGACUGUUCUUGUUCUUCACUGGGGCGUAUUGCGUUUCCGCUAUUUUUUCGAAGUCCCAAUACUACGUUUCCGGAAAUUUAAAGUAUACGUUUCCGCAAUUUGUAUUUAUUACUUUUCCAGAAAUAUACCUGGCCACAGACC